rnacentral:misc_RNA from 1 species
GAAAUGCGAUAAGUAAUUUGAAUUGCAGAAUUCAGUGAAUCAUCGAUUCUUUGAACGCACCUUGCGCUCCUUGGUAUUCCUUGGAGCAUGCCUGUUUGAGUAUCAUGAAAUCUUCAAAGUAAAUCUUUUGUUAACUCAAUUGGUUUCUACUUUGGUAUUGGAGGUCUUUGCAGCUUCACACCUGCUCCUCUUUGUUCAUUAGCUGGAUCUCAGUGUUAUGCUUGGUUCCACUCGGCGUGAUAAGUUAUCUAUCGCUGAGGACACUGUAAAAGGUGGCCAAGGUAAAUGCAGAUGAACCGCUUCUAAUAGUCCAUUGACUUGGACAAUACUUUUAUGAUCUGAUCUCAAAUCAGGUAGGACUACCCGCUGAACUUAAGC